rnacentral:tRNA from 1 species
GGGGAUUUGGCUCAGUGGUAGAGCGCUUGCCUAGGAAGCGCAAGGUCCUGGGUUCGAUCCCCUGCCCCC